rnacentral:lncRNA from 1 species
AGCAGAAUAAGAAAAAAAUGCACCAUUUUAGCCAAACCUGACAUUAACCAUAUGCCAAGCCUCUUGAUGAGACCCACAUACAUAUGAUUCUACAUCUUGCAAAGCUCACUAGGUGGACUUCAUGAACUUUAUUCACUGGAAAGCUCUGAUGCUCCAUGGAACAUGCAUGAUAGACAUAAGUCACCUCAAAAGUAUCCAACCAUGAUUCCAAAUCAGUUCCUGCUGUAAGAGAUUUCUAAUUUUGAUUUGAACUAGUCUCCAGAGCAGAAGGAUAUGUCACUGAAGCAGGUAUAGUCAAUACUCUGACACUCAUAUAAAAGCUCAAAAUCAACAAAAAUUGGCUAAAGGCUCUAAUGCAAAAGUAAGCAUCAGUGCUGUGUUUACUUAUUUGGGUUCUGUUUUCACUAAGAUUUUGGCCUCAGACAAGUCUUUUUAUCCAUGUUGAGCAAUAAAUGUACUUUAAAGAAUGCUUAGUCAAGUCAAAUUGUCCCUGUUUGCAGAUGACAUGAUUGUAUAUCUAGAAAACCCCAUUGUCUC